rnacentral:misc_RNA from 1 species
AAUCAUUUCCCAAGCUUGUGCUAACUUGAACUGCAUCAGUAUUGAUGGAGGUGAGGCGUGGAGCACGCAAGCAAAACACCUGCCCACAUGUGCAAAUUCCUAGUAAGCAUAGUCCAGAUGUGCAGUAACUGACGUUAUAUGAAGGAAUUUGGCACCCCAGUCCUGAGCUCCAUUUUCACUGUAUCACACAAGGCAAGUUUUACCCUGGCUAUACGAGUGGC